GAGAGCUAUGUCCUUGGGAACUGUGCAGCAAAGAUGACUAGAGCCGCUUCAGGCUUUGCAAAAUUACUACAAACAUAAGCUUCUUAUCUGGACUUGCUGUCUGUGUUUACACCAUUGGACCCAAGAGUGCUUCCCAAUUCCCAUGUCUGGAUGUGUGGUUAGUCAUGCCCCAGCUCUGUGUUGAGAUGGAAACCUGGACAUGUGUGCUGGAUGGGAGCUGCAACGUGUCUCAACAGGCCGAGCCAUUCGGAUGACCAGGAAAUGAGGGCCCCAAGACAUGCUGUAGAGCAAGCUGGGCAUUGGCUCUGAACUCAUCUUCCAGGCUUCCUCUUCAUCAAGAGAAAGAAGAAGGCAUUUCCAAAAGGGAUAAGUGUGUUGGGAAUUGAAUCAGGGAGGAAUGCCAACGGAAAAGUUGACUGAAUGUUAAAAAACAUUUCUAUUUGCUGAAGUUUCUGUUGAGUUAAUUGUAACUCAACCCUUACACUGACAAAACUAAUACUGAAAUUGAUUUGUUUAAAAACACGUC
rnacentral:lncRNA from 1 species